AAUAGAUACCCCGGUAGUCCUAGCUGUAAACGAUGAGCACUGGGUUGAGGGGACUUCCACAUCCUCUCGGCCGUAGCGAAAGCGUUAAGUGCUCCGCCUGGGGAGUAUGGCCGCAAGGCUGAAACUCAAAGGAAUUGACGGGGGCUCACACAAGCGGUGGAGGAUGUGGCUUAAUUCGAGGCUACGCGAAGAACCUUAUCCUAGAUUUGACAUGGUUGAGAAUCUCCUUGAAAGAGGAGAGUGCCCUUCGGGGAGCUCUUUCACAGGUGCUGCAUGGCUGUCGUCAGCUCGUGUCGUGAGAUGUUGGGUUAAGUCCCUUAACGAGCGAAACCCUUAUCUUUAGUUGCCAGCGGGUCAAGCCGGGGACUCUAAAGAGACUGCCGGUGUCAAACCGGAGGAAGGUGGGGAUGACGUCAAGUCCUCAUGGCCUUUAUGUCUAGGGCUGCACACGUCCUACAAUGGCACGUACAAAGGGAAGCCAAGCCGCGAGGCCGCGCUAAUCCCAAAAAGCGUGCCCAGUUCGGAUUGCAGG
rnacentral:rRNA from 1 species